rnacentral:rRNA from 1 species
UUAAGCGACUAAGCGUACACGGUGGAUGCCCUGGCAGUCAGAGGCGAUGAAGGACGUGCUAAUCUGCGAUAAGCGUCGGUAAGGUGAUAUGAACCGUUAUAACCGGCGAUUUCCGAAUGGGGAAACCCAGUGUGAUUCGUCACACUAUCAUUAACUGAAUCCAUAGGUUAAUGAGGCGAACCGGGGGAACUGAAACAUCUAAGUACCCCGAGGAAAAGAAAUCAACCGAGAUUCCCCCAGUAGCGGCGAGCGAACGGGGAGGAGCCCAGAGCCUGAAUCAGUGUGUGUGUUAGUGGAAGCGUCUGGAAAGGCGCGCGAUACAGGGUGACAGCCCCGUACACAAAAAUGCACAUGCUGUGAGCUCGAUGAGUAGGGCGGGACACGUGGUAUCCUGUCUGAAUAUGGGGGGACCAUCCUCCAAGGCUAAAUACUCCUGACUGACCGAUAGUGAACCAGUACCGUGAGGGAAAGGCGAAAAGAACCCCGGCGAGGGGAGUGAAAAAGAACCUGAAACCGUGUACGUACAAGCAGUGGGAGCCUCUUUAUGGGGUGACUGCGUACCUUUUGUAUAAUGGGUCAGCGACUUAUAUUCUGUAGCAAGGUUAACCGAAUAGGGGAGCCGAAGGGAAACCGAGUCUUAACUGGGCGUUAAGUUGCAGGGUAUAGACCCGAAACCCGGUGAUCUAGCCAUGGGCAGGUUGAAGGUUGGGUAACACUAACUGGAGGACCGAACCGACUAAUGUUGAAAAAUUAGCGGAUGACUUGUGGCUGGGGGUGAAAGGCCAAUCAAACCGGGAGAUAGCUGGUUCUCCCCGAAAGCUAUUUAGGUAGCGCCUCGUGAAUUCAUCUCCGGGGGUAGAGCACUGUUUCGGCAAGGGGGUCAUCCCGACUUACCAACCCGAUGCAAACUGCGAAUACCGGAGAAUGUUAUCACGGGAGACACACGGCGGGUGCUAACGUCCGUCGUGAAGAGGGAAACAACCCAGACCGCCAGCUAAGGUCCCAAAGUCAUGGUUAAGUGGGAAACGAUGUGGGAAGGCCCAGACAGCCAGGAUGUUGGCUUAGAAGCAGCCAUCAUUUAAAGAAAGCGUAAUAGCUCACUGGUCGAGUCGGCCUGCGCGGAAGAUGUAACGGGGCUAAACCAUGCACCGAAGCUGCGGCAGCGACACUAUGUGUUGUUGGGUAGGGGAGCGUUCUGUAAGCCUGUGAAGGUGUGCUGUGAGGCAUGCUGGAGGUAUCAGAAGUGCGAAUGCUGACAUAAGUAACGAUAAAGCGGGUGAAAAGCCCGCUCGCCGGAAGACCAAGGGUUCCUGUCCAACGUUAAUCGGGGCAGGGUGAGUCGACCCCUAAGGCGAGGCCGAAAGGCGUAGUCGAUGGGAAACAGGUUAAUAUUCCUGUACUUGGUGUUACUGCGAAGGGGGGACGGAGAAGGCUAUGUUGGCCGGGCGACGGUUGUCCCGGUUUAAGCGUGUAGGCUGGUUUUCCAGGCAAAUCCGGAAAAUCAAGGCUGAGGCGUGAUGACGAGGCACUACGGUGCUGAAGCAACAAAUGCCCUGCUUCCAGGAAAAGCCUCUAAGCAUCAGGUAACAUCAAAUCGUACCCCAAACCGACACAGGUGGUCAGGUAGAGAAUACCAAGGCGCUUGAGAGAACUCGGGUGAAGGAACUAGGCAAAAUGGUGCCGUAACUUCGGGAGAAGGCACGCUGAUAUGUAGGUGAAGUCCCUCGCGGAUGGAGCUGAAAUCAGUCGAAGAUACCAGCUGGCUGCAACUGUUUAUUAAAAACACAGCACUGUGCAAACACGAAAGUGGACGUAUACGGUGUGACGCCUGCCCGGUGCCGGAAGGUUAAUUGAUGGGGUCAGCGCAAGCGAAGCUCUUGAUCGAAGCCCCGGUAAACGGCGGCCGUAACUAUAACGGUCCUAAGGUAGCGAAAUUCCUUGUCGGGUAAGUUCCGACCUGCACGAAUGGCGUAAUGAUGGCCAGGCUGUCUCCACCCGAGACUCAGUGAAAUUGAACUCGCUGUGAAGAUGCAGUGUACCCGCGGCAAGACGGAAAGACCCCGUGAACCUUUACUAUAGCUUGACACUGAACAUUGAGCCUUGAUGUGUAGGAUAGGUGGGAGGCUUAGAAGUGUGGACGCCAGUCUGCAUGGAGCCGACCUUGAAAUACCACCCUUUAAUGUUUGAUGUUCUAACGUUGACCCGUGAUCCGGGUUGCGGACAGUGUCUGGUGGGUAGUUUGACUGGGGCGGUCUCCUCCUAAAGAGUAACGGAGGAGCACGAAGGUUGGCUAAUCCUGGUCGGACAUCAGGAGGUUAGUGCAAUGGCAUAAGCCAGCUUGACUGCGAGCGUGACGGCGCGAGCAGGUGCGAAAGCAGGUCAUAGUGAUCCGGUGGUUCUGAAUGGAAGGGCCAUCGCUCAACGGAUAAAAGGUACUCCGGGGAUAACAGGCUGAUACCGCCCAAGAGUUCAUAUCGACGGCGGUGUUUGGCACCUCGAUGUCGGCUCAUCACAUCCUGGGGCUGAAGUAGGUCCCAAGGGUAUGGCUGUUCGCCAUUUAAAGUGGUACGCGAGCUGGGUUUAGAACGUCGUGAGACAGUUCGGUCCCUAUCUGCCGUGGGCGCUGGAGAACUGAGGGGGGCUGCUCCUAGUACGAGAGGACCGGAGUGGACGCAUCACUGGUGUUCGGGUUGUCAUGCCAAUGGCACUGCCCGGUAGCUAAAUGCGGAAGAGAUAAGUGCUGAAAGCAUCUAAGCACGAAACUUGCCCCGAGAUGAGUUCUCCCUGACUCCUUGAGAGUCCUGAAGGAACGUUGAAGACGACGACGUUGAUAGGCCGGGUGUGUAAGCGCAGCGAUGCGUUGAGCUAACCGGUACUAAUGAACCGUGAGGCUUAACCUU